rnacentral:tRNA from 1 species
GGGGCUAUAGCUCAGUUGGUAGAGCACGUCGCUGGCAGCGACGGGGUCAGGAGUUCGAAUCUCCUUAGCUCCA